ensembl:lncRNA
CUGGCACCCCGCUGCAGGUCUAGCCGCGAGGGAGGCGUGGGGUCAGAUGAGUGUGUCCCAGCGGCCGGCCCGGUGACACGAGCCUGCAGGGCCGGGCCAGGGCCUGGAGAUAGGACCCGCCAGCAAGUAUGCGGAGAAUGUUUUUCUUCGGACUCUCCGGAGGCUCGCAGACCACAGGGAUUCCGUCCGCAGUGACAGCCUUAACAUUUGCCAGAGCCCUGGACGCCACUGCAGAAAUGGCAUUGCCCACCCGGAAAGUGAGAAGGUUGCAUAAAGAGGCAAAAUGAUGGGUUUGGGAGACACGUUGUCAAGGAGAGAGAGAAACAGCUGAAUUGAGACCAGCUCUAAGAAUCAACUGAGCAUUCUCCGGACCAGUGAAAGAGAAAACGUCUUUUGAAGAGUGCUGUAAACCUGAUAUUAGGAAUCUGGCCGAGUGCACGUCUUGGGGCUCGAUCGGUGCGCACCGGAACCGUGUUCUUACGACAGAAAAUGUGAUAUUCUCCCUUCAUGAUGUAUUUUUUUUCCCUGUGUAUUAAAUGAAAGCAGAAAGGUUUUUAUGUAGUUCUUGAAAACUGUUAAUGCGAGUUAAUAAAUAGGAGACAACCGAC